rnacentral:rRNA from 1 species
GUGACGCUGGCGGCAGGCUAACAUUAACAAGUCGAACGGUAACAGGAAGCAGCUUGCUGCUUCGCUGACGAGUGCGGGUGAGUAAUGUCUGGGAAACUGCCUGAUGGAGGGGGAUAACUACUGGAAACGGUAGCUAAUACCGCAUAACGUCGCAAGACCAAAGAGGGGGACCUUCGGGCCUCUUGCCAUCGGAUGUGCCCAGAUGGGAUUAGCUAGUAUGUGGGGUAACGGCUCACCUAUGCGACGAUCCCUAGCUGGUCUGAGAGGAUGACCAGCCACACUUGGAACUGAGACACGGUCCAGACUCCUACGGGAGGCAGCAGUGGGGAAUAUUGCACAAUGGGCGCAAGCCUGAUUCAGCCAUGCCGCGUGUAUGAAGAAGGCCUUCGGGUUGUAAAAGUACUUUCAGCCGGGGAGGAAGGCGAUAAGGUUAAUAACCUUGUCGAUUGACGUUACCCGCAGAAGAAGCACCGGCUAACUCCGGUACCAAGGAGACCGCGGGAAAUACGCGAGGGGUGCCAGCCGUUUAAUCGGAAUUUCCUUGGGCGUAAAGCGCGAAGCAAUGCGGGCACUGUCAAAGUACAGAAUAGUGAAAAUCCACCGGAGCACACACUGAGAACUAG